ACUCCUACGGGAGGCAGCAGUAGGGAAUCUUCCACAAUGGGCGCAAGCCUGAUGGAGCAACACCGCGUGAGUGAAGAAGGGUUUCGGCUCGUAAAGCUCUGUUGUUAAAGAAGAACACGUAUGAGAGUAACUGUUCAUACGUUGACGGUAUUUAACCAGAAAGUCACGGCUAACUACGUGCCAGCAGCCGCGGUAAUACGUAGGUGGCAAGCGUUAUCCGGAUUUAUUGGGCGUAAAGAGAGUGCAGGCGGUUUUCUAAGUCUGAUGUGAAAGCCUUCGGCUUAACCGGAGAAGUGCAUCGGAAACUGGAUAACUUGAGUGCAGAAGAGGUAGUGGAACUCCAUGUGUAGCGGUGGAAUGCGUAGAUAUAUGGAAGAACACCAGUGGCGAAGGCGGCUACCUGGUCUGCAACUGACGCUGAGACUCGAAAGCAUGGGUAGCGAACAGGAUUAGAUACCCCGUGUAGGAUAGCG
rnacentral:rRNA from 1 species